ACUUUUGUGGCGUAGUGGUUUAAGCAUCAGACUAUGACUCUGAAGAACAGGGUUCAUAUCCUGGCUUGGUCA